UUGUGAGGCAGACAUAUUCAAAACGAAAAUCACAAGACAGAGUUGUUUUCUGGAUCAAAACAGAUCAGAGAAAGGAAAUUACAAAAAAAGAAGGAUGAAGAUUCUCUAAAUAGGCACAUGAAAACAGCAGAAGUGACAGCUGACAAUCUGUCUGACAAUAGGAAGGAGAAGUUAUCAAGUAGAGAAAAAAAAUGUAAGGCUCCGAAGUCCAAAUCAAUUUGGAUAGGGAUAAAGUAGGUUUCAGUAGCUGCCCGUGUAAUUGUAGUAAAAUAACUAAUGUUGAUAAUGAUGAUCCUGAGUCAUCCAGAUCAUAUGGGUCACUCAUAGCACUAGACAAAAAUAGACCAAGAUAGAAAGGAAGGAAGGAAAGAAGGAAACAGCUUUCCCUGCAGCCUUGAGAUGUGAAUGUCUUUCUACAAGAAUAUAAUCUGGCAAGCAUUUAACAACCAAAAUUUUAAAGCUAAUCUUGGAUAUGCAAAGUGAGGCAUGGGGGUAAAGGAAGGAGAGAAAGUUGAUUUGCUGCACAUAAGAAAAUUAAUGAAAUGAGGUAAGAGAAAAGAGGGGAAGAAUCAGACAACAUGCAAAGAGGCUAAAGUUUGAGCUGUGAGGGACUAUGGAUAGUGGUGACCAGUCUUCAUUUUUUUCUACCCUUUUACAGAUUUCAACAGUUUUAUUAAGGGAUAAACUUCACAUAUUUAAAAUUUACAGUUUGAUAAGUUUUGACAUAUAUACACCCAUGAAACCAUCAGGACAAUCAAGGUAGAAAAACCAUCCAUUUCCUCUUGAUUUCUCCCUUGCACCCCUCCUUGACUUCCUCUCACCUCUACACAAACACUGCUUCUCCUUUCCAUCACUGUUCAUUUGCAUUUAAUAACAUAUUACAUAAGUGGACUCA